ACCUAUAAUUUUUUUGGCUGACUGCAUGGAUGGCAGACCUUUCUGAGGGCGUGAAGCCUGCCAGAGUUCAAGGAGAUAGGUGCAGAGGUUUCUUGGAAACUGCACCUCAAAUUUUGAAA